CCCACAUUUUCAAAGAGGACCAAUGACAUCAUGGGGCAAUGUCUUGAUUUGUGCCUGAAUUCGAUUGAAGUGAGGCGGAAAGACACAGUCACUCUCUCCCAGAGUCAUCAAAGUCCAAUGGCAAUACACAAUUCUGGAUGCCUGGCAAUGGGUGGUCUUAUAUACCAAGAGGAUAUUGAUUUAGAAAUUUCUUUCUGCCAGGUAAUCAGGCCCUGGACCCUGCCAUAGGAGUUCAUCCUUCCUAAGUGUUACCAGCUGGCUUCCCAAGAGAAGGUGAUUUUUCCCCCUUCCUGCUGUCACACUCAUUAUGACAGUACCUUACAGCCUCCCCUUUGUUCGAAUGGCAGUUAUUACAUUGGGCUUAAUGAAAAGGGAACUAACAAGUAUAACUAAUCUGAUUAGUCCAAAUGAAUUAUCACUUUCUGUAGGAGAACAUGCUCAGUAGGGAAAGUGUUUAGACCAAUGCUGGGCUUCAAACACCAUCACAUCCUGCAAUGGGCCUGGGAAAAGCCUAGUGUCGUGGCGAUAUACAUCUAUACUUCUCAGGUCCUAGGUCAGCCCUCUAGGGUCAAGCAACUCCUUCCUCCACAUGGCAGUCCAUUAAAUACUUGAGGAAAGUAUGUGGUCCCUUCUCUUCUUCAGCCUAAAUGUCCCCAGGUGCCUGAACAUGGAUUGGUGUAGCAAGAGAGCUAAAAAUCUCACCAUCAGAAAAUGUGGAUUGGAAUUCCAGUACAGGUGCUUUUUAUUUCUGCAAAAACAUUUCAAUGUCAUGCAAUCAAAAUUGUUCAUUUUACCUCUUCUGCAAGUCUUCUCAGCUAUAGAUCUGAAAGGUAACAUCUUCCUUGAUCUUCUAAUUUGUUUAAGAUGUACUGACAUAGAUUUUUGGGGUAUAUAUUAGAGAUGGAAGCAAAGGCAAAUAAUGGAAGAUAAAUAGAAAGGCAUGAGUCUUU
rnacentral:lncRNA from 1 species